rnacentral:lncRNA from 1 species
UAACCAGCUGCAGUACUUUUUGUGUGGUGUGGAAGUGUUUGUUUUUUGCAAUAGAUUUUUGUUGCAGUUUAGGUUUGUAUUUUCUUUGUUUUGUAGUGCUUAUUAUGAAGGUUCGUAGGUUUAUGUCUGUAGGCCAGGCAGGUCAUUAAACUUAACAAAGAAUAAGUAAGUCGGGAGAGGGGAAUAGAAAUCUCCACAUACAUAUUCUUAAAAGCUGUAACACUCACCACAAAGAUCUGCUGAGUGAAGUCUGUGAGACGAACGCACCAAGUCUGGACGCUCUGUCAGGCUACAUUUUACGUUUUUGGGAGUGAGCAGGUGUUAUUCUGUUCCCCGGGUUGGUUUUGAAGUCAUGGCUCUCAAGUAAUUUUUGUGCUUCUCAAAAGUGCUGGAAUUGCAAAGAUCAACAUCAAAAGCUACAAACUGGAAACAGAGGAAGAUACUAGCCCCGUGUUUCUGAUUCAGUAUCACUGAAAUACUUUGGAACCAUAUAAAGGGCAAAGUACAUUCCACAUGUUGAAGGACAGUGCCUGGCCCUGUGGGGUGUCAUCCCCAAGCUGUAGGCAUAGUGGCAACCCAGGGGUUCAUCUCAACUCCCAUCAGAGUUCAAACAUUGAAUUAGUUGUGCAAUGGAAGGAGUAUUACCAGGACCCAGAUGCAGCCCAAGGAAAAAAGAAAACAAAAGGAGACACACACAGUAAGUGGUGUCUCAUUGUGAUUUGGAUUUGCAUUUCCCUAGUGAUUAGUGAUGGGAAACAUAUUUUCAUGUGUUAUUGGUCAUUUGUUUAUCUUCUUUGGAGAAAUAUUUAUUCAAGUCCUCUGCUCUCUUUUUUUUUUUUUUUUUUAGUCAGAGUCUCGCUGUAUUAGUCUGCUCUCACACUGCUCAUAAAGACAUACCUGAAGCUGGGUAAUUCAUAAAAGAAAGGUUUAAUUGACUCACAGUUCCACAUUGCUAGGGAGGCAAAGGAGGAGCAAAGUCACAUCUUAAAUGGCAGCAGGCAAGAAAGUGUGUGCAGGGGAACUUCCCUUUAUAAAACCAUCACAUCUUGUGAGAUAUCCACUAUCACAAGAACAGCACAGGAAAGACCUGCCUCUAUGAUUAAGUUACCUCCCACUGGUUCCCUCAUGACACAUGGGAAUUAUGGGAACUACAAUUUAAGAUGAGAUUUGGGUAGGGACACAGCCAAGCUAUAUCACUUGCUGUGUUGCCUACGCUGGUCUCCAACUCCUGGGCUCAAGUGAUCCUCCCACAUUGGCCUCCCAGUAGCUGGGACUACAAGCUUGAGCCACUGCACCUCCUUUGCACAUUUUUAAAUCAGAUAGUUUUGUUUUUGUUGUUGUUGAGUUGUAGGAGCUAUUUAUGUAUUCUGGAUAUUAACACCUUAUCAGAUGUAUGAUUUGCAAACAUUUUUUCCCCAUUCCAUUGGUUGCCUUUUCACUCUGUUGAUUGUGUCCUUUGAUGCCGAGAAGUUUCUAAGUUUAAUGUAGUAUAAUUUAUCUAUUUUAUGGCUGGGCCUGGUGGCUCACACCCGUAAUCCCAGCACUUUGGGAGGUUGAGGUGGGUGGAUUGCUUGAGCCUAAGAGUUUGAGACCAGCCUGGGCAACAUGGCAAAACCUUGCCUCUACUAAAACACAGAAAAAUUAGCCAGGUGUGGUGGCAUGCAUCUGUGAUCCCAGUUAUUCGACAAGCUGAGAUGAGAGGAUUGCUUAAGCCUGGCAGGUUAAGGCUGCAGUGAGCCAUAAUUAUGGCAAUGCACUCCAGUCUGGGUGACAGAGCAAGACCCUGUCUCAAACAAACAAAACAUUUAUCUAUUUUAUUUUUGUGGCUUGUGCUCUUGGUAACACAACCAAGAAAUCAUUGUCAAAUCCAAUGUCAUUGUAAAGCUUUCCCUCUAUGUUUUCUUCUAGAAAUUUUAUAGUUUAGGCCUUACAUUUAGGUCUUUGAUCUAUUUUAUGUUAAUUGUUACAAACGGUGUAAGGUAAGGGUCCCACUUUCUUCUUCUGCAUGUGGACAUUCAUGUUUUCCCAAUAUUAUUUGUUGAAAAGACCCCUUUCUCCAUUGAAUGGUCUCAACACCCAUGUAAAAAGUCAUUCAAUCAUAUAGGCAAGGGUUUACUUCUGGGCUUUCUCUUCUAUUCCAUUGGUCUAUGUGUCUGUUUUUAUGCCAGUACCACACUGUUUUGAUUAUUGUUACCAUAUAUGACUGUCUAAAAAAUUUUAUGUAUGUAUAAAAAUUUUUAUGUAUACAUAAAAUUUAUACAUACAUAAAAUUUUUUUUGAGACAGUCUUGCUCUGUUGCCCAGGCUGGAGUGCAGUGGCACAAUCUAGGCUCAGCUCACUGCAACCUGCGCUUCCUGGCAAGCGAUUCUCGUCUUGUAAUAUAUUUUGAAAUCAGGAAGUGUGAUGCCUCCAGCUUUGUCCUUCUUUCUCAAGCUUAUUUUGGCUAUCCAGGGUCCCUUGAGAGUCCACAUAAAUUUUAGGAUAAAUUUUUAAUUGGAUUUUUUAAUAGGGAUUACAUUGUUUGCUUAAUGUAAUCAUAAUGCAUAUGAUUUUCUUAUGCCCCCAACAAAUAUGAAAUCAUAGUCAUAAUCAUUUGCUAAAUGAUUACAUUAAGAUUGUUUUGGGUAGUGUUGACAUUUUAACAAAACUAAGUCUUCCAAUCAUGAGCACAGAUGUCAUUCCAUUUAUUUGUGUCUUCUUUAAGUGCUUUCAGCAAUGUUUUAAAGUUUUAGCGUACAGUCUUUUGUCUUCUUGGUUAAGUUUAUUUCCAAGUAUUUUAUUCUUUUUGAUACUAUUGUAAAUGAAAUUGCUUUUGUAAUUCCCUGCAGCCUCUUUCAUGCUCUGAGCAGAACUGCAUUGCAUACAAUCAAUCACCUACACUCACAGGCAAGAAUGUACUACUAUUGUAAUAAUGUAAAUUUUUCUAAAAUCACAAAAUGGAAAAUGCAUCUUAUUUGCUUUUAACGUUUUAGCAGAUGAUGUGGUCAAGUAAAUAAAUAAAAGGAGAGAAAGAGAAGUUCUGUGUGUGUGUGUGUGUGUGUGUGUGUGUGUGUGUGUGUGUGUCUGUCUGUCUAAGAUCCUUUUGUUGUUUGCUUUGGCCUAGUUUCUUAUGCUUUGAGGAAAAGCUCAUUCUCAUUCAUGUGACUUGCUUUGGCUAAUAGGACACCAGAGCAUGAUGCAAGUGUGGCUUAAUCGGUGCUUGCACAUUGGGCUUGUUCUUUCCAAACCUGUUGCCCCGAUUCUGCAAGGCUAUCCUGCUGUAGAAGGAGGCCCUGGAGGACAAGACACCAUGUGGGGAAAACAGCCAUGGGGAGCAGAACCGAGGUAUCCCAGCUUAGCUCCCAACUGACAGCAGCCACAUGAGUGAGCAGAAAAACAACUUCCAAGGGUGAUUUAGCUACUGCUGCUGUGGAAUGUCAAAACUUUCAGCAAGGGAGCCCGAUGCAGAUCUGUUGAUAUGACACCAUUCCACAAGAAGACCAACUGAUGGCUUUGUGGCAAGUUGACUACACUGGGCUGUUUCUAUUCUGGGAAGACAGAGAUUUGUUCUAAGAGGAAUAGGCAUGUGUUGCAGGCAUAGGUUGACCUUUCCUGCCAUGGAGCCUCCUCUGGUACCACUAUUUGAAGGUUGAAGGAAUGUUGAUUCACCAGGAUUGAGUCAGACCAGCCAAGCCUAUGACCAUGAUGUCAACUGACUGUAUCACCUGUCACAUCAUCCAGAAGCUACAGACUUAUAAGGCAUUGGAAUAACUUGUAGAUGGCCCCGUUAAAGUACCAGCUUAGAGGCAACACUCCAUGAGAAUGAGACAUCAUCUCCAGGAUGGCACAUACACAUUGAAUCACACAGCAUUGAUAAGGAGAUGGCUCCCCAGUAGGAAGAAUAUAUUGGUCAUGAACCAAGGGAUGAAGCAGAAGUGUCUUGCUUCCUGUCCCUGCAGCCUCUCUUUCUGCAGUGCUAGAAAUCCUGGUCAAAAGGGGGCAUAAUUUUAUCAGGGGACACAGCAAAAGUCUCCACUACAUUGCAGCUAUGCCUGCUGCCUGGGGAUUUUGGGCUUCUUAUAAUUGGGACCAGCAAUAAAAGAGAAGAGUCACAGUCUUGGCAGGGCUAAUUGACCCUGAUCAGCAGGAGAAGAAAGGCUGUGGUUCCACUAUGAGGGUAGGGAAGACGUGUGGCACCACUGAUCCACUUUUGCAACCCAUGGUACUCCCGUGGCCAGUUGUGAUGACAGACAAGUGCAGGAACACUUUUGGGAAGGGCAUGGUGGCCAGAGUUCAGACCCCAUGGGAAUGAGGACCAGGGUCACACCACUGGAUAAGCCAGGAGGAAGAGAGGCCCACUGGAAGGCUGGAGGAGCUGCUCCCCAGAUGUAGAUGAAGUAGAUUUGAGCAGCACAGUGGUGGACCUAGUAGAGGCGGACAUCAAGAUCCUCUUCAAGGAAAGAUUAUCAAUAUAGUUUUCCCUGACCCAGGUGCCAUGUGUUUUCUGUCAUAUUCACGUAUGCUAAUACAUAAUUGUGCAAGUGGGGUAAUAUCUGGGACACUUCAUGGUUCAUAUCAAAACACAGAGUGAAGAGAACAUCCUCUGGGCCAUCUCAGAGUGUGAGUUUGGGGCGGGGGUGGCUCCUGGUUAACAUUUCUGUCCACUGCAGCAUUCCUUUUCCCUUUUGCUUUUAGAUUCUUCCCUUGACAUCACACCAGGAAAGUCUGACAACUUAACUUUAUUGGAUAUAGGCAACCGUUGAAUCCAAGUUUUGCCCACUGAAUCCAUCAAAUUGUUACAGCCAAUUCUAGAUGCCUGAGUGGACACAUGAAAUCCAGAUUCCCCAGUAAGCGCAUCCCCAUUAAUAAACUGACCAAAUGCAAUGUUAAUCUGUUCUAUAACCUUUAGAAUCCAUCCCAACAUAUAUUUUUUAGGUUCCUGCCAAGAUAUGUUAGCAAAAGCUUGCAAUUUUUUGAAAAAUGAAUUAUCUCUUCCUGGGACAUGUGUUGUACUUUUCUCUCUGAAAUAGGCUGAGCUCUGACUCCAUUAAAAGUCUGAAAGCAAUGAAGAGUGAAGGAGCGGAUAUUGGGGAGAAUAGGCAUCCUCUUGCAAGAUAACUGCCUCAAAGUCAUUAUAAGGUUUUCAAGCAAGAGAAAGCUAAUUUCCUUACACAUAUGAAGAAGCGUUGCUUCUCCUGGCAAGAAAUACACAGUGAAUCAGGGAUUCAAAAUUCUUAGCUUUAUCUAAGUUUACCCAGAUGUGUCUAUCCUUCCCAAUCAGUGCUCUUGGCAGGAGACUUGGCAAGUCUGCGAAGUCAACUUAUGUUAUAAUUCUGCAACCCACACAAGUUCUUAUUUUCAAUGAGGGUAACCUUGCAGCCACACAAAAUAGCAAAAUUUUUUAAGGAGUACCAUAGACACACUCUGGUUCUCUGUGUUCAGUGUUUUAAGCCUAUCUUUUUGUUCCCCUGUAAGCUCUUCAAUGUAGUCCAAAAUACACCAUCUGUGGUAGGCAGAAUUCUAAGAAGGUUCCAAAGAUUCUCACCCAUGGUGUAGAGAACUUGUAUAAUUUUCUCCCCUAAAGUGUAGGUGGAGCCCGUGAAUAGGAUGGGAUAUUAAUACCAUGAUUGUGUUAUAUUUUGAGACAAAAAAAAUUUUGUAGAUGUAAUUAAAGGUACUAAUCAGUUGACUAUGAGUUUAUCAAAAGGGAGAUCAUCCAGGUGGGCCUGACCUAAUCAUAUCAGCCCUCUAAAUCCUGGUCUAUGGGUCAGAGAAAGAGGAAGGCAGAGAUUUAAAGCAUGAGAGAAAUUCAAAGCAAACUAGAUUCUCCAUUGCUGUCUUUGAAGACAGGCAGCCAUGUGGCAAGGAAUGUGGGUAGCCGAUAGUGGCCGAUGACAGCUCCCAGCCCACACUUCAAGUUUAGCCUCGUAGGGCCCUGAGCAGGGGACACAACUAUACUGCAUUUACAAC